GGCUCACGUGUUGAUGUUGGGGCUAGUAUGUGGUAUUGACACAGCUCAGACACAGAUUUGUGGUUUGUGAUUUGUGAUCCCGUCUCACACUUCAGCGGCAGUCACGUUGUCUUGGCAACUUGCCCAGAAAAUACAGUACAUCCCUAUGUAACUGGGAAAGGAUAAUUCUGCCACUACAGACUUAUUAUCCCCUACAAGACUGUCUUUUCAUUCACAAAGACUGGGCAAAGCAUGGAGGUGAUGUGACUUGAGACAGAGUCUAUAUCAUAUGUAUGUGAAGUGAAAAGGCAAACCCUCAGCCGCCUGCCCUUUAAUUUUGCAUGUUUGUCACAGCUCACGACAACCCCACAAGUGGCUGUUCAAAAACCCAGUAACUAAUGACACACAUGUUAGAACCGCCGCCUCCUCCUACAUCUCCUACGCCUCUCUUUUCGAGUACACACUCCCCAGUACCCACCUGAGUCUCGUUCAUGAAAGGAAAUCAAGUGUCAUCAUCUGCUCCUUGCUUUGGCUGCGUUCCUCUGGGUCCUCUGCUCCAUCCCUGUCACCACGUAGAAGCACACACUACCUGAUUGUCUGGUGUUUUAUUGCUCCAUGGAGGACUAGAUAUCGAGUUUGAGCCACAUUUGCAUUUUAAUUUCAUAUUCUGCACCACGGCUCCCACAUUUUUUAACUACUUUGUGCUUGUUUAAUGGUCCUUGGUGAAAUGAAUGCGCUAGUUUAUAAUAAACAAAGGAUUUCAUUAUGCAAAUACAGACCAGUGUCAGGCCCAGGACUUAUAUGAAUGUUUGUCUGGAUGUUUGCUGCCAUGCAAUCUGUGGACCUGGUUCUCCACAUGAAACAAUGUUCACUGAGGAGGAACUGAGUAUCAUUGAGGAACCUGCUGUCAAGCACUGAAAAACAUGCAGGAAAAGAUGACAAAAAACAUUUACUAUUCAUCUUUUGCUUUCUAAUGAGAGCUAUAAAAACUAUUUUUUAAAAGGUGAUUGCGAUUUCUUUAAAGCCAAUUUUCAUCCAAACAUUCAAUUCAGUCUGUUUUUGCAUCUUACAGGGUUCAUAAUCAGGCUUACCUUCCUCCUGAGCUGGUUUUCUUGUGAUAGCAGGAUCAUAGUCUGUUCAUCGAACCCUCCCUCCACCAUUACCUGAUUACUUUGAAAGGCUGUAUGAGUGAUGAUCAUCACAUCAAUCAGGAUCUUAAGAUGUCAUCUGAAAUAAACUCACUGUCAGGGGGAAAUGAAGUAAAAAUGUAUAGAUGCACGCUUAUGCCAAAGGUCAAUGAACACUAAUGGAUGUUUUUUUUUUUUUCAUAAUCAGACACAUAGGGUAACAAGUGAUGGAAGGUUGAUGAAUUAAAUUAUAUGGUUAGAAAUAUCUUUUCCAAAUGACAGGAGGCGGACACCAGAGUUCAGGGUGUACUGUAUAAUGAAAGCACAUUUAAUUCUUGCAAGAAUGGAGCACAAACUAUGCAUUAAGCAGAUACACUAAAGUGGUCCCCGAAUGUGGAGUUUCAGUCUCCUAGGGUGACCAUAUUCAGAAUCCCCAAAAGGAGGGCACAACUACGUAAAAUUACAUAAAAUUCACAGAUAUUCUGUAAAAUUUCGAGGGUUUUUCAGGUCGAGUGUUUUUUACAAUCUUCUUACUCAGUCAAACGCAUAUUCUGAAUUACCAAAAAGACACUUAACCAGGCCUCUUGGAAAUAAAAAAUACUCACACAAAGUUGUGUUUAUAAACAAUAUAGUCAUUUAUCUAAAGCAUUUCUCCUCAAUAAAAUGAUCAGUCACAUACAAAUAUUUCUCGCUUUUCUUUCGUUCACUGGCAGAUGGUGCAUGCGUGUGUCUCGUCAGUGGCUUUGCUUAGAACUAAGUGGAGGGGCAGAGCAGCAGAGAGCACUGAUGCCCUUCACUGUUGUAUAGUGAAUACACGUUCAGAGUGUGUUUUCAAAUUGAUCAUGUAUGGUAAAUACAAUGGUCUGUGAUGCGAAGAUACACGCUGCACAAACUCAAAACCACGGAAGUCCAUUUCUGUUAGUCAAAAAAAAACAGGCUUUCAUACAAAACACUGGACAUUUGAAGGAUUUGGUAAACUCCCCCCAGGCAGACGGGACAGCCCCCCAAAAGAGGACAUGUCUGGGUAAAAGAGGACAUAUGGUCAUCCUAGAGUCUCCUAUCCUUGCUUCCUCAGUUUUCUUGGAUCUUUGUCAUCAUUUCCAACAGACUAUUUAAACAAGUAUACUUGCCCUUUUGUUUGGCACCUGCUGCCCUUACAAAGUUUAAACAUCGCAGUGACCUUAGCCUUCACAUUAUCUUUGUUUACAACCCUUAUGCACAUCUUGGACAGCCUUUUUAUAUUUCAAUUUAUUCAAGAUAAUUAGGCUUAUUAGGAGGGAAGAGACAUCACGUUUUCAAAGGAGCAUCUCACACCUGCCUUAUCUCUUGUUGUCGUUGUCUUUGUUAGUGUACUGUGUAUGAGUCUCUCUCUCUCUCUCUCCUUCGCUCUCUUACAGCACCACCAUGUUAAGUCAACAGCCAGCGAGAUAAACACUGACAGAAAAAGUGAGCUUUCAGUGGCCAAAUGAUGCCAAAGGGAGGACACUGUCUUAAUAGCAACUUGCGUGAAGUUCUUUUUCCACAGCAAAUUGCAAGAAAGUGCCCCCUUUCUCCUGCACUGCAGCUCAACCACUUUGUCAUAAUGAGAGCUUUCUGAAGAGAACUGAGCUGAGAGCCAGGUUGGCAGAACAUGAAUUAUCCCUCAGCCUGGUAGCUAAGAAGCACCGAGUCUGCCCUGAACCUUUUGUCUUGUUGACAGUUCAAAGACAAGUCUAUUUAACUUCUGAAUAGCUUCACAGUGCUCAGUAGAGGUAGUGGUUUACCACAGCUGUAGCUGCUAGUUAUACUUUUGGCUAAGUUUUCAGACAAGUGCUCAAAGUUACAUUACUAAUAUGCUGAUAUUAAGCAGGAAGCCUGUAAAGUUGAAAGUGAGCCACUUAGGCUGACUGCAUCGGCAGUUUAAAUGGUGUGAAUCCUCAGGAAAAAGCAGUCAGAAUGGCUUUAAGUGGCUACUAGUUGUUACAGGUAUAAAACUUAUAGUCCAACACUGGUAGAGAUAUGGAAAGGCUGCCUUUGCAGUCCUAAUUACUAAAGACUCAAUAAACAAAAGAAGAGGAAAGUUUUGAAUGCAGUUUGAAUAAUUGUUGGAGAUGUCAGUGUACAAGGUCAGGUAACAUAUUAUACCAGCAGAUUUCAGAGAGCUCAAGGUCUUUGCACACUGAGUCUGUUUAAUUCACUUGAAAUUGACACACGUUUAAAAACAAAUACUAUCCCGCGUUGUGGCAAUUAUGUUUACACACUGACUCUGAAACUCUUGUUUGUCAUUAUUUUAUUAUUUUUUCUGAGCAGGUUGGAAUCUCUGUGUUUUUCACAUCCAUUCAACAUGUCCUUCAGUGUGCUGUGAUUGCCACAAAAAACUACCCUGGUCUUUUCAGAAUAUCUGUGUAUCCAGGUGUCUUUGCACACUUUUCUGAUGGCAAAUAUUGUAUUUAAGGUGCGUGCGUGCGUGCGUGCGUGCGUGCGUGCGUGCGUGCGUGCGUGCGUGUGCGUCAUACCCAUAGACUGUAUAUAGAAUGGACGCCAUUUGCUUCCCUCGCUGGAGGAAGCCACCCCUAGAACAGCACCCUCUGGUGACAGGCUGCAGUAUAGGUCAUCAAUCCC